rnacentral:rRNA from 1 species
CACGUAGGGCGCAAGCGUUGUCCGGAAUUAUUGGGCGUAAAGAGCUCGUAGGCGGUCUGUUGCGUCCGCUGUGAAAACUCGGGGCUUAACCCCGAGCCUGCAGUGGAUACGGGCAGACUAGAGGUAGGUAGGGGAGAAUGGAAUUCCCGGUGUAGCGGUGAAAUGCGCAGAUAUCAGGAAGAACACCCGUGGCGAAGGCGGCUCUCUGGGACGGUACUGACGCUGAGACGCGAAAGCGUGGGGAGCGAACAGG